UUGAAAAGAGUCUCAAUAAUACUAUGAUAGAGAUCAUAGUAUAUCUCAUUACUAGAUAAAAUUGAAUCUAUGGAGUCACACAAUAAAGAGAUUGACUUGGAUAAAGCAAUUGGACUUAUGAAAUCUCAAUUGGAUUUAGAAAAAUCCUAUUGGAUUCAGGAUAAUCUUGCUAGUACAUGGUUGAAUCCAAUUUUCUCUUUGCGCUUGAAUUACUUAUUUGAUAAGAUUAAUUCAAGUUAGUUACCUACUAAUAAUUUAAAUAAAUUAGAUUCAUUAGAAUCUAAUUAUUGGGUAACUAGGAUUUUGGAUCAAAUGCAUUAAGAGUUCAAAUCCUUAAUUAAUUACCUUGAUAGUUUGCAUGGGGCGCCACUUGAUUUGAUCAAGUUGGGCAUGCCCACACUAAAGAGGGCAUGUGGGAUCGGCAUGGGGUAUCCCCUUAGCCCUAUAUGGUG
rnacentral:lncRNA from 1 species